GCUUCGGUGGCUCAGAGGUUAAGCACCUGACUUGCAAUCUGGAGGUCCUGGGUUCAAAUCCCGCCGUACA
rnacentral:tRNA from 1 species